rnacentral:rRNA from 1 species
GGGGAAUUUUGGACAAUGGGGGCAACCCUGAUCCAGCCAUGCCGCGUGCGGGAAGAAGGCCUUCGGGUUGUAAACCGCUUUUGUCAGGGAAGAAAUCUCCUGGGCUAACACCUCGGGGGGAUGACGGUACCUGGAGAAUAAGCACCGGCUAACUACGUGCCAGCAGCCGCGGUAAUACGUAGGGUGCAAGCGUUAAUCGGAAUUACUGGGCGUAAAGCGUGCGCAGGCGGUCGUGCAAGACAGAUGUGAAAUCCCCGGGCUUAACCUGGGAACUGCAUUUGUGACAGCACGGCUGGAGUGCGGCAGAGGGGGAUGGAAUUCCGCGUGUAGCAGUGAAAUGCGUAGAUAUGCGGAGGAACACCGAUGGCGAAGGCAAUCCCCUGGGCCUGCACUGACGCUCAUGCACGAAAGCGUGGGGAGCAAAC